GCUAAUGUAGCUUAAAACAAAGCAUAAUUCUGAAGAUAUUAAGAUAGACUUUAAAAAGUCUCAUCGGCA
rnacentral:tRNA from 1 species